GAACUCCGCCGUCUGUUGGCGGCCAUCUUGAGUGUGGCAGAGUCGCCGCUUCGUCCCAGGGGGCUUUUUUUCAUUUCUUCAUCCUUUUUUUCGCACCGCCCGUACCGGGGAGCGUUGAGUCGCGUCACCGCCGUACCCGUGGGGCUUUUGUUGGCAGCGGAGCGGCUCCCGGGGAGCGGUGGAUCCGUGCGAUCUCUCCACGCAGGGCUCUCGGCGCCAUCUUGAGUGUGGCAAAACUCCCUCGCUCGGCGCGCCGGUGCACCCCGUUACCCCAAGCGGGAUGCUUGAGCGGGGGGGGCAGCGGCGGCCCCGCGGCGGGGUCGGGGUACCCGCAGCUCUGUGUAACGACGGGGGGAAUGCAGGAAAGCCCCCAGCGCGAGCCAAGCCCUGGGCCCGCCGAAGGCGCGCGAACGCGUGAGGGGAGAGCGAGGGAUCUAAAAGAGAAGAAGGAAGUUGUUGAAGAAACAGAAAAUGGCAGAGAUGCACCGGCCAACGGCAAUGCUAACGAGGAAAAUGGAGAGCAAGAGGCUGAUAACGAAGUAGAUGAAGAAGAAGAGGAAGGUGGUGAGGAAGAAGACGAGGAGGAAGAGGGGGAGGAAGAGGAUGGUGAUGAAGACGACGAAGCUGAGGGAGCCACAGGGAAACGGGCAGCUGAGGAUGACGAGGAUGACGACGUCGAUCCCAAGAAGCAGAAAACUGAUGAAGACGACUAGGCAGCAAAUUAUAAUUAUUUUUUUUAAAUAAGGAGGAAAAAAACAAACCAACAAAAAAGGCCAGCGCGUCCUCUUCACCCCUGGGACCCCCCCCCAUUCCCUUUCUCCUGUCGCAGCCCUCCCCACACACAGCCCUUCCUCCCCCCUCGCCGUGGUCAUCCUCACCAAGUAGAGUGAACCCCAUCCCGGCCCCGCGGCGCUGCCACUCAAUGAGCAUAGAAACGAUUCGCCCGUUCGCGGGGAGAGAAACCCCCUUCCCACAGACCCCAUUUCCACCCCCCUCCCUCCCCCCCGAGCACCUAAACUUCAAGGCCCUGCUUUCUUUCUUAAAAGUACUUUAAAGGAGAAUUUGUUUGUAUUUUUUAUUUACAUUUUAUAUUUUUGUACAUAUUGUUAGGAGGUCCGCCAUUUUUAAGUGAUCUCGGAUUGACCAAAAGGGGGGCUUUGAAGUGUAUAUCUCUUGUUACCUAUCUCUGACUUUACUUGUGGUGUGACCAGGCCCAAACCAUUAUCUCAAAGGAGAAUAAAAAAAAAAAACUUGUAAAAAAAAAAAAAGAC
rnacentral:lncRNA from 1 species